GAUGAACGCUGACAGAAUGCUUAACACAUGCAAGUCAACCUUUGGCGGACGGGUGAGUAACGCGUAAAGAACUUGCCUCACAGUUAGUGACAACAUUUGGAAACGAAUGCUAAUACCGGAUACUGUGAGAGUUCUUUGCGUCCCAUUAGCUAGUUGGAGAGGUAACGGCUCACCAAGGUGAUGAUGGGUAGCCGGCCUGAGAGGGUGAUCGGCCACAAGGGGACUGGGACGCUGCCCUUACUCCUUCUGGAGGCAGCGGUGGGGAAUAUUGGACAAUGGACCAAAGUAUGAUCAAGCAAUUCUGUGUGCACGAUGAAGUUUUCGGAAUGUAAAGUGCUUUGAGUUGGGAAGCGGUACCAACAGAAGAAGUGACGGCUAAAUACGUGCCAGCAGCCGCGGUAAUUC
rnacentral:rRNA from 1 species